UACAGAGGUCCCAAGCGUCGUUCGGAUUCACUGGGCGUAAAGGGUGCGUAGGUGGCCGGAAAAGUUCGGUGUGAAAGCUCGGAGCUCAACUCCGAAAAGGCAUUGAAAGCUGUCCGGCUGGAGGAUCGGAGGGGGGACUGGAAUUCUCGGUGUAGCAGUGAAAUGCGUAGAUAUCGAGAGGAACACCAGUGGCGAAGGCGGGUCCCUGGACGAAACCUGACACUGAGGCACGAAAGCUAGGGGAGCAAACAGG
rnacentral:rRNA from 1 species